CUUUGCUGAUCUUCUCUGGGUCUGCUUAAGCCUUUUGGCAGGAGGUAACUGGGGCAACAUUGUGCUGCUGAUGCACACGGUGGCAUAAUGGUGGCUGCUGCCCUAUCAGCUCCAGCACUGCUGUUCCAUGGCACUGCUUUCGUGCUGCUGGGCCCCUUUCUGGUGUUGUUGAGCACCUGCUGCAUUAACCAAUGGACUGCCCAGGAAAUAUGUGUAAUUUUGGUCACUUGGCUGCAGGCAGCUGCCACGAGGAAGCACAUGGGUGUGCACGUUCCUUCAGCAGCAUUUGGCUCUAAACAUGGAGUGGAUACACACUUACUAACACACAAUGGGGCACAGAAUGGGGAUGAAGAGUGCUUAGGAACGUUCUUUAACGAUGCUGUAGCAGGGGGUUAA
rnacentral:lncRNA from 1 species